ensembl:snRNA U6 U6 spliceosomal RNA
GUGCUCGCUUCGGCUGCACAUAUACUGAACUUGGAAUGACACAGAGAAAACUAGCUGGCCCCUGUGCAAAGAUGACAUGCAAAUUUGUGAAGCAUUCCAUAUUUUU